rnacentral:rRNA from 1 species
GACGAACGCUGGCGGCGUGCUUAACACAUGCAAGUCGAACGGAAAGGCCCUGCUUUUGUGGGGUGCUCGAGUGGCGAAGGGGUGAGUAACACGUGAGUAACCUGCCCUUCACUUUGGGAUAACUUCAGGAAACUGGGGCUAAUACCGGAUAGGAGCUCCUGCUGCAUGGUGGGGGUUGGAAUGUUUCGGCGGUUGGGGAUGUACUCGCGGCUCAUCAGCUUGUUGGUGGGGUAGUGGCUUACCAAGGCUUGGACGGGUAGCCGGCCUGAGAGGGUGACCGGCCACAUUGGGACUGAGAUACGGCCCAGACUCCUACGGGAGGCAGCAGUGGGGAAUAUUGCACAAUGGGCGGAAGGCUGAUGCAGCAACGCCGCGUGCGGGAUGACGGCCUUCGGGUUGUGAACCGCUUUCGCCUGUGACGAAGCGUGAGUGACGGUAAUGGGUAAAGAAGCACCGGCUAACUACGUG